rnacentral:rRNA from 1 species
CCAAUAGCGUGUAUUAAAGUUGUUGCAGUUAAAAAGCUCGUAGUUGAACUUCAGGCCUGUCCAGAUGGUCCGCCUUAAUUUGUGUGUACUGUCCUUGGGUGGGUCCUACCUUCUGGCGAAGCGGCAUGGCCUUAGUUGGUUGUGUCGGGGAAGCAGGACUUUUACUGUGAAAAAAUUAGAGUGUUCAAAGCAGGCAUAUAUGCUCGCAUACAUUAGCAUGGAAUAAUGGAAUAGGACGAUGGUUCUAUUUUGUUGGUUCUAGGACCGUUGUAAUGAUUAAUAGGGAUAGUUGGGGGCAUUAGUAUUCAAUUGUCAGAGGUGAAAUUCUUGGAUUUAUUGAAGACGAACUACUGCGAAAGCAUUUGCCAAGGAUGUUUUCAUUAAUCAAGAACGAAAGUUAGGGGAUCGAAGACGAUCAGAUACCGUCGUAGUCAUAACCAUAAACUAUGCCGACUAGGAAUCGGGCGAUGUUGACAAAAUGACUCGCUCGGCACCUCAUG